UUCAAUAGACAUUUGUCUAUUUAACAUGAACAUAUUGAGUUUAGGUUUUUAAAUCAUUAUCAGUUGUUGGUUUAACAUAAAAUAACAAAAAGUUUAAUGAACUAGAUUUGCAUUCUUCAGUUCAAUUAAAUGUAAUUAUUUUAAAUCAACAACUCUAAAACCGAUGCCUAGUGCGCAUGCUCAAACUUCCCAAAAGUGAAGAGGCGGGAACGCGGAGAAAUUAUAUGUGUUCAGUGGACUGCCAUUUCCCUCUGCGGAAUCUUCCACAAUACAGUAACACCACAAAGAAAGCUGACCCCUUUUUCUGAUUGUUUGUGCCUCCUCUUUAAUACAUGUGACUUGUAUGUGGCAGUGCAAGCGUUGUUCCAUCAGGGAGAGUAGUAGAUUGAGAAGGAGUUUCUGCGAAUCACCACAAAGCCUCUGCUAUCUACUUUCUUUGCCGAGCUUGACCAAUACGC